ACGCUCGACACCUACGGGACGCAGCAGUGGGGAAUAUUGCACAAUGGGGGAAACCCUGAUGCAGCAACGCCGCGUGAAGGAAGACGGUUUUCGGAUUGUAAACUUCUGUUCUUAGUGAAGAUAGUGACGGUAGCUAAGGAGCAAGCCACGGCUAACUACGUGUCAGCAGCCGCGGUAAUCUGAGCGGGCUGGCAAGGC
rnacentral:rRNA from 1 species